AACAAAAUUUAGGUGAAUACAUUAAACACGAGUUUUUAAAGUGCAGUUUAUCUGUUUAACAUGUUUGGAGACAAAACAUCCGACGCAUAUAUUUCUGCAGGAUUUAAGUUUCAUAAGUCAGGUAUAUAAAUGUUAUAAAUAUAAACGAAAUGGAGAACGUUUCUCUUUCUCUGCGCAUGCGUCAACCCAACCGGAAGGGGCCAGAGUGGAGGACAAGGGCCCGAGAAGUUCGCAGUACAGCGUGACUCCGUGAGCGCGAGCUCCCUCGUAAUGGGUUACCCACCCCCCGGUGUGUCCGGAGACACACAAUCACGGAGUAAAGAGCAGUUUAAAAACCACCGAUAAUCCCUAAGGCUUUUUCCCCGGCACCACAGGAAUAAAGAACAGGAUUUGCCUGGAUGAAAGACAGACAAUUCUUAUACCAUCCAUUUUGAUUACAUCCAAUGGACCAGAUGCCCAGAGGCACCAUUGACUGUCAUCACUGGCUGUAUUGCUGUGUGGGACGGAAGCUGCUCUGCCUCCUACCGUAAGGCUCUGCAACGGGUAGUGAAUAUAGCCAGCAAGAUCAUGGGCACCUCCCUGCCCCCCAACACGGACACUUUCCAUACCCUCCUCACCCGCAGAGCCAUCAGCAUUGCUGGAGAAUCCCACCCCUUACACUCGCACUUCAGCCUCUUGCCUUCAGGAAGAAGGUACCGGACCCUCCAGGCCCGCUGCACCCUUAAACAGCUUUAUCCACCAGGCUGUCAGAAGACUGAACUCUGUCCAUUACCUUCCCACUCUGCCCCCUGCCCCUAGACAGUAAUAUAUUCACUGACUGCCUCAAGGACUGUUUACAUUCAUACCUUUCCGCAGCUAAUUUGAAUUUGACUUAUAUGGUUGCUACCAUCUGCACAACUACAUUAUCUACUGUUAUCAUUUGCACAACUGCAUUAUUUAUUGUUACCAUUUACACUUUGUCGAUUAUGUCUCUUGCCUUGUUAGUUUGUCUUGUGUCUUAUCUGUCUUUGAAUUUGAAUGGUAUUCACAACAGUGAGCAAGAAACGGCAUUUCGGUUCUCAUGUAUGUCUUGCACGUAAAAUAUGA